rnacentral:rRNA from 1 species
AUUGGACGCUGGCGGCAUGCCUUACACACGCAAGUCGAACGGUAACAGGUCUUCGGAUGCUGACGAGUGGCGAACGGGUGAGUAAUACAUCGGAACGUGCCUAGUAGUGGGGGAUAACUACUCGAAAGAGUGGCUAAUACCGCAUGAGAUCUACGGAUGAAAGCAGGGGAUCGCAAGACCUUGUGCUACUAGAGCGGCCGAUGGCAGAUUAGGUAGUUGGUGGGAUAAAAGCUUACCAAGCCGACGAUCUGUAGCUGGUCUGAGGGGACGAUCAGCCACACUGGGACUGAGACACGGCCCAGACUCCUACGGGAGGCAGCAGUGGGGAAUUUUGGACAAUGGGCGAAAGCCUGAUCCAGCAAUGCCGCGUGCAGGAUGAAGGCCUUCGGGUUGUAAACUGCUUUUGUACGGAACGAAAAGCCCCGGGUUAAUACCCUGGGGUCAUGACGGUACCGUAAGAAUAAGCACCGGCUAACUACGUGCCAGCCGCCGCCGUAA